rnacentral:rRNA from 1 species
GGGGAAUCUUCCGCAAUGGACGAAAGUCUGACGGAGCAACGCCGCGUGAGUGAUGACGGCCUUCGGGUUGUAAAGCUCUGUUAAUCGGGACGAAUGGUUCUUGUGCGAAUAGUGCGAGGAUUUGACGGUACCGGAAUAGGAAGCCACGGCUAACUACGUGCCAGCAGCCGCGGUAAUACGUAGGUGGCAAGCGUUGUCCGGAAUUAUUGGGCGUAAAGCGCGCGCAGGCGGAUUGGUCAGUCUGUCUUAAAAGUUCGGGGCUUAACCCCGUGAUGGGAUGGAAACUGCCAAUCUAGAGUAUCGGAGAGGAAAGUGGAAUUCCUAGUGUAGCGGUGAAAUGCGUAGAUAUUAGGAAGAACACCAGUGGCGAAGGCGACUUUCUGGACGAAAACUGACGCUGAGGCGCGAAAGCCAGGGGAGCGAACGGGAUUAGAUACCCCGGUAGUCCUGGCCGUAAACGAUGGGUACUAGGUGUAGGAGGUAUCGACCCCUUCUGUGCCGGAGUUAACGCAAUAAGUACCCCGCCUGGGGAGUACGACCGCAAGGUUG